rnacentral:rRNA from 1 species
UACGGAGGGUGCAAGCGUUAUCCGGAUUCACUGGGUUUAAAGGGUGCGUAGGUGGGAAUGUAAGUCAGUGGUGAAAUCUCCGUGCUUAACACGGGAACUGCCAUUGAUACUAUGUUUCUUGAAUUAUCUGGAGGUCAGCGGAAUAUGUCAUGUAGCGGUGAAAUGCUUAGAUAUGACAUAGAACACCAAUUGCGAAGGCAGCUGGCUACAGGUGGAUUGACACUGAGGCACGAAAGCGUGGGGAUCAAACAGG